rnacentral:rRNA from 1 species
UCUGGUAUGAAAGGUUUGACGAGAUAUUAACUGUUUCAUAAAAAUUUAUAAUAGAAUUUUAUUUUUUAGUCAAAAAGCUAAAAUAAAUUUAAAAGACGAGAAGACCCUAUAAAUCUUUAUAUUUAGAUAAUUACAAUUUUGUGGAUUUUUUUUGUUGUGAUUGUUGAUAAUAUUUUAUUGGGGUGAUAUUAAAAUUUAAAAAACUUUUAAUUAAUUAAAUCAUUAAUUUAUGAAUAAUUGAUCCGUUAUUAACGAUUAAAAAUUUAAGUUACCUUAGGGAUAACAGCGA